rnacentral:rRNA from 1 species
GUGUUCCUACGGGGGGCAGCAGUGAGGAAUAUUGGUCAAUGGGCGGAAGCCUGAACCAGCCAAGUCGCGUGAGGGAAUAAGGCCCUACGGGUCGUAAACCUCUUUUGCCGGGGAGCAAGGGCCGGGACGCGUCCCGGCCCGGAGAGUACCCGGAGAAAAAGCAUCGGCUAACUCCGUGCCAGCAGCCGCGGUAAUACGGAGGGUGCAAGCGUUACUCGGAAUCACUGGGCGUAAAGAGCGCGUAGGCGGGUGGUCAAGUCAGCUGUGAAAUCCUGUAGCUUAACUACAGAACUGCAUUUGAAACU